CAAUACGUGACCUAGUGGUUAAAGCGCCCUCGUCGAAUGGGGGAGGUCGCGGGUUCGAACCCCGGCCGAGUUAU